GAAACGAACGGGCGAAGCCGACCGCACGCCGUCGCAGGAAGAAGGCCUUCGGGCCGUAAACUGCUCUUGUACGGAACGAAACGGUCUGCCCUAAUACGGCGGGCUAAUGACGGUACCGUAAGAAUAAGCACCGGCUAACUACGUGCCAGCAGCCGCGGUAAUACGUAGGGUGCGAGCGUUAAUCGGAAUUACUGGGCGUAAAGCGUGCGCAGGCGGUUAUGUAAGACAGUUGUGAAAUCCCCGGGCUCAACCUGGGAAUUGCAUCUGUGACUGCAUAGCUAGAGUACGGUAGAGGGGGAUGGAAUUCCGCGUGUAGCAGUGAAAGGCGUAGAUAUGCGGAGGAACACCGAUGGCGAAGGCAAUCCCCUGGACCUGUACUGACGCUCAUGCACGAAA
rnacentral:rRNA from 1 species